rnacentral:lncRNA from 1 species
GGGGGUUCCCUGAGCUGGUGGAGCGGCGUGGCGUGGCCUAGGAAGUCCCUGGGCGAGGGAGGCGGGGCGCGGCGUGGUGGGGGCGACUGGGUGGUGCAGGCCUGCGCACGCGCGCAGCCGUGGGCGGGACGGGCGGCCUGGGGGCUUCGCCGCCAGGUGGCAGGCGUGCGCCACGCCCGCAGGUUCCAGCCCCGACCCGGGCGCGCGGGGCCGACUAGGGUCGGGUCCAGUGUGCGGUGGUCGCUCCGCUCCGGGCCGCUCCGCUCUGGGCGUCAGGGCGCGGGGAGCUGCCCCGGGGUUCUGUCCACCGGGGAGGAAAGCCACGAGCACUGAGCGCCUCCUGAGAGCCAGCCCUGACGUGAACUCAUUUUAUCUGCCACGACCCAGAAGGAGUCUACUGCUAAGAUUUCAGCAUGUCCUGUGGCUGAGUUAAUCAGAGUUAUGACAGGAAGGUACCGGGCACACCAUCGCAAUGCUCCAUCAAUGCUAGUAUGUUGUGUUCUUUCCUUCAUAUCAAGUCAACUCAAGCUUGCUCUACUUACCUGGUGUACACAGUCUAAGAACUGUAAGAAGACUGGAGCAAAACCACUCCCCUGACAGUUGAGGGUCAAGCUGCUCCUCUGACUGAAUUUGUGACCAAAAGAGAGCCACUCUUUUUCAACCAACAUCUGGAAGCCUUCAAGUGUCCUAUAAAAGGGAUCACUGAGUAACUGAACCAGGGAUGUCACCUAGGGCAUAAGCAGGAUGGAUUGUCAUUAAUUUUAGUUCUGAAAAAGGCCUAUUACUAAGAUAAAAGCACUUCCUUCUGAUGAUAGCUAAUUCACAAAUUUACCUGGACAGCAAAUUUGUUCACUAACCAUUCCAGGAUGGCCAAUAAAAUUAAUUUUGUAAACUUGCCAGUAAAAACUAAAGCUCAAAUUCAUUUUGGCUACAAGUUUACUUUCAGGGAAUUGAGACUUUAAUCCUUAACUGGCCAGUUUGCUGACAGCAACCUUUUCCUAAGUUAAUCAGAGGCCAGAGGAUCAGUUAAAAUCAAUUCUACUUUUUGGCAGAUGCAGAUUAAUGUCUUAAUGUAGUCUGAACUCACACUUUUCACUCUGGAGUGAGUUAAGGCGGGGCUUAUAGAGAGCCAGGGGAUGGACUGACAAAACCCAGGAAGGAUGGUCCACGCCUCACACUGCUGGUCAAGGGCUCCAUCCGCAAGCCUGCAUGGUAC